AUUGAACGCUGGCGGCAGGCCUAACACAUGCAAGUCGAACGGUAACAGGAAGCAGCUUGCUGCUUUGCUGACGAGUGGCGGACGGGUGAGUAAUGUCUGGGAAACUGCCCGAUGGAGGGGGAUAACUACUGGAAACGGUAGCUAAUACCGCAUAACGUCGCAAGACCAAAGAGGGGGACCUUAGGGCCUCUUGCCAUCGGAUGUGCCCAGAUGGGAUUAGCUAGUAGGUGGGGUAACGGCUCACCUAGGCGACGAUCCCUAGCUGGUCUGAGAGGAUGACCAGCCACACUGGAACUGAGGCACGGUCCAGACUCCUACGGGAGGCAGCAGUGGGGAAUAUUGCACAAUGGGCGCAAGCCUGAUGCAGCCAUGCCGCGUGUAUGAAGAAGGCCUUCGGGUUGUAAAGUACUUUCAGCGGGGAGGAAGGGAGUAAAGUUAAUACCUUGGCUCAUUGACGUUACCCGCAGAAGAAGCACCGGCUAACUCCGUG
rnacentral:rRNA from 1 species